ACAGAUAUUUCAGGAACCCAUGAAAUGAUGCACUUAGGUCCACUUAGGUAACUACUCAACCAAGGAACAAACCUCAGACUAAGUGUCCAGUGGAGGGCAAUCCCAGGGGGCAGGUGGACAAUUCUUGGGUACUGCUUGGCAGCUAUGUGUCCAAUAGCAGUGCUCCUUACUGCAGACCCAGGGAUGACUCCUACCUGUCUCUGACAUACCCCAUAUGCAAAAGCACAAAGAACAUUUAUCCAUACAUCUCGAUACAGUUCCUAAGUGUGUGCACAUGUACAUAACGCACACAGAAAUUCAGGCAACAGGUACAUGGGCAAGUAUAUUCUGCUCACUAAAUGGUUAUUGGCUAUGUACUUUGUGCAGGGAAGUACAUUAUCUACAGUCACAAAAAUGUCUCACGGGAAAGCCUAGCCAGAUUCAGACACAUAUAUACAAUUACAUAACCAGCAAGGCUCCCCAUACACCGUCUAUUCCAUAAACCACUCAGGUUAGAGAUGCAUGCUUUCCUAUUUCUAUCUCUACACAUAAACUUUUACUAGAAGUACCCAUAAUUGGACAUUCCAGCAACCUGCUACAGUCCCCACCCCUGUGCGUCUUGAUACAAACACACCAAAUUGCUGUGUCUCUGACCCCUCAACUGUGCCAAGAUGUUUAAAGAGUGAUGGAUCAAAAUUCAUUGAAAGCACUUUUUCUUGUAAUUCCUGACAAGGUCCGUCCUCAUUGCCACUGAGAGGUGUUUAAGGUGGUCCAAGACCUCUCUUUGAAACAUGACCCUCCCCAAACCACUCAGCAAAGUGCCUUUCUCCAAGCAAGAACAAAGAGCUCUUGGUAGUGACUCCUAGAAAGCUAUGGAAGCCCACUCAGUUAUGUCAGUGGACUGCAAUUGUGUACCUGUGCAACGAAUGUUUUACAGAUGGAAAGGGUAAGGAGGUGCUACACCUGAGCUAGGUACCUCCUGUGUAACCAGAGUUUCCAGCAGGGAAAGGACUAGACAAUCAUCAGUACAGUCUCACAGAAGGCCACACUGGAAGUGAUGUCAUAAGGUGGUAAUGGGUGUAUGGUAUGGCACAGGUGGAAUGCAGAGGUAACAAAGUUUCAAUGAAAGUAGGAUGAAACCAUAAAGAGGUUUAUUUAUAUUUAUCUUGAAGCUCAGGCAAGUGCCUUGCACACAGUAGGUUCUUAGAACUGUCUGUGGUUACUGUUGGACAUGUGAUGUUGCUAAGGGUAAGCUUGUAAUACCUCACACCAGCUCUCCCCAAGUGACCUUCUCUUCUAAGUGAGCCCACUAAUUGCUGCAAUGGAUGAAAUCGAGUGUUUAAGGCUGCAAGAGAGUGCAUGUAGGCGACACGUGUGCCCUGAGGUAUGUGAGGACGUGUCAAUUAGAUCCACAGUGAGCUGAGGAGGGCUUUCCCUGCCAGACCGAGGUUGGGAAGCAGAGUUAAUCCACUUACAGGAUGAACUGGUUGGUAUUUUGACUGUAUUGUGACUAUGGCAAAGAUGGACAGUUCACACCUUGGGAGCAAGUUGUGUUCUAAAAGUUUAUUUGCAAAUAUACUAGGAAGCUCUCUUGAAAUAUUUUCCCAUUUACUCUACACAGUGGCAAAAUCGCUAAUUAAUAAUAUAGGUAAACUAUGACAUUUAUAGUAGCAAAAAACUAAAUUCUAUAAAAUUACAUUAAAUGAAAUUUGCUGCUGAGUAAAUGAAAGCAAAUACUGUUGGCUCACUUGGGCCGUCUGGUACUCACCUGCCCUCCAGGUGUACUUUAGGCCUGUGGAGGGUGGCAUCUAGUGGUGACCCUUGCACCAGGGUUUUCUAACAGAUGACCCUGUGAAUCAUAAUUCAGACCUGCAUAUAUUUUAGAGCCAGUCACAUUUGCCCUCUCACUCUAUAUGGCCAUAAACUGCCUAAGCACUCAGGCCUCCUACUCAUCAACCCCUUUGACCAGAGAAAGAAGCAGUCUGGUUCUCUAUCCCCUUGUCACAGAGAGAGUUUGUCAUGGAGCCUCUGCCUGUGCCCUUCACAUAGCAGAAUCACUGUCAUCUACCUGCACCAAACCCAGAUAUGUGGGAGAUGUCUCCCCACACCUCCCACUGCCCACCAGGACAAGCUGCCCUUCCUGUCUCCACCUCUCAGUCCCCCUAAUAUGGGUGGCCAGGGAGAUGUGGAGGCUGACAGCUGAGACGUGGUGUCAGAUGUGAUCUAGGAGGAAGGAUCACCAGGAUCCGGGACCACACAAGUAACAUGGUUUCCAUGGCAACUGCUUGCUCCUUUGAAUUAAGACAGCAGUCAGUUGUCAUUGCCAUGACAAGGCCUCUAUCUCCAGGCACAGUGUCCCUGAUGUCUCCUAAUCCAACGGACUGGCUCUCACUGCAGGCAUAAAACACCCAGAAACUCACUCUCAGUCACUUCCACAGCCGAUGACUCAGAAGAAGCAAACCCAGAAUGGGGCUUCUCUUUUCCCCACCACAGCCGCCCUGACAACCUUUCCUGGCAUACCUAGAGGAGUGCCAACGCAGGAUAGGCCCGAAAAUUUUUGUUAAAUAAACAGGUGCAUGAAAGGAGCGAACAAACAAGGCGAUUGUUGGUGUCCACUCUCUUCUUUCCACUUCCUUCCCAUCUUUCCAUGUUUUAUGCUUCUCUGAUUCCCUCUUCUGCCUGUACCAGGCAGCCCCAGCCCUUUAUUCUUCUCCAUUUUCACUCCUUCCAGCCUCUGUCCCUGAACUGCCACUGGCAACCCACGGGACCUCAGGACCAGAGACUGCUAGACUCAUCUGGGGAGGUUAAGCUCAUGGGGGACAAAAAAGGGAUUCCUAAAGAAGAGGCUUCCUAGACCAGCACAGGCUCAAGAAAGGGAUCCCCUAGGCCUGGACUUCUGAGCACCUUCAGCCAGGUUCCAGCCAACAGCCAGAGAAGGCCUUUCCCCAUCACUCAGUGGGUUCCAUGUUUUUAUUUCUUGGGAGAAGCAGGGAGGGAGAAAGGUAGAAAAAGGGAAGUCGCCUUUCCAAGAAGAAUAUAACUGGUCCAAGCUGUAUAGUAUUUGUCAGUAUUUUUUUCUGUAAAGUUCAAGCACACACAAAAGAAAAACUUAUUUAAAUAAAAUACUUUGGAAAUGAAAA